rnacentral:rRNA from 1 species
AACGAACGCUGGCGGCAUGCCUAACACAUGCAAGUAGAACGAGACCUUUGGGUCUAGUGGCGCACGGGUGCGUAACGCGUGGGAAUCUGCCCUUGGGUUCGGAAUAACAGUUAGAAAUGACUGCUAAUACCGGAUGAUGUCUUCGGACCAAAGAUUUAUCGCCCAAGGAUGAGCCCGCGUAGGAUUAGCUAGUUGGUAGGGUAAAGGCCUACCAAGGCGACGAUCCUUAGCUGGUCUGAGAGGGUGAUCAGCCACACUGGGACUGAGACACGGCCCAGACUCCUACGGGAGGCAGCAGUGGGGAAUAUUGGACAAUGGGCGAAAGCCUGAUCCAGCAAUGCCGCGUGAGUGAUGAAGGCCCUAGGGUUGUAAAGCUCUUUUACCCGGGAUGAUAAUGACAGUACCGGGAGAAUAAGCCCCGGCUAACUCCGUGCCAGCAGCCGCAGUAAUAC